rnacentral:rRNA from 1 species
AUGUACGCUGGCGGCGUGCCUCAUACAUGCACGUCGAGCGAACAGACGAGGAGCUUGCUCCUCUGACGUUAGCGGCGGACGGGUGAGUAACACGUGGAUAACCUACCUAUAAGACUGGGAUAACUUCGGGAAACCGGAGCUAAUACCGGAUAAUAUAUUGAACCGCAUGGUUCAAUAGUGAAAGACGGUUUUGCUGUCACUUAUAGAUGGAUCCGCGCCGCAUUAGCUAGUUGGUAAGGUAACGGCUUACCAAGGCAACGAUGCGUAGCCGACCUGAGAGGGUGAUCGGCCACACUGGAACUGAGACACGGUCCAGACUCCUACGGGAGGCAGCAGUAGGGAAUCUUCCGCAAUGGGCGAAAGCCUGACGGAGCAACGCCGCGUGAGUGAUGAAGGUCUUCGGAUCGUAAAACUCUGUUAUUAGGGAAGAACAAAUGUGUAAGUAACUAUGCACGUCUUGACGGUACCUAAUCAGAAAGCCACGGCUAACUACGUG